rnacentral:rRNA from 1 species
CGAUUCGAGUGGCGGACGGGUGAGUAACGCGUGGGUAACCUGCCUUACACAGGGGGAUAACACCUGGAAACAGGUGCUAAUACCGCAUAAGCGCACAGGGCCGCAUGGCCCGGUGUGAAAAACUCCGGUGGUGUAAGAUGGACCCGCGUCUGAUUAGCUUGUUGGCGGGGUAGGGGCCCACCAAGGCGACGAUCAGUAGCCGGCCUGAGAGGGUGGACGGCCACGUUGGGACUGAGACACGGCCCAAACUCCUACGGGAGGCAGCAG